rnacentral:rRNA from 1 species
AUUGAACGCUGGCGGCAGGCCUAACACAUGCAAGUCGAACGAGUGGCGGACGGGUGAGUAAUGUAUCGGAAACUGCCUGAUGGAGGGGGAUAACUACUGGAAACGGUAGCUAAUACCGCAUACCAUCGGAUGUGCCCAGAUGGGAUUAGCUUGUUGGUGGGGUAACUGCUCACCAAGGCGACAAUCCCUCGCUGGUCUGAGAGGGUGACCAGGCACACUGGAACUGAGACACGGUCCAGACUCCUACGGGAGGCAGCAGGGGGGAAUAUUGCACAAUUGGCGCAAGCCUGAUGCAGCCAUGCCGCGUGUAUGAAGAAGGCCUUCGGGUUGUAAAGUACUUGCAGUCGGGAGGCGUUACCGACAGAAGAAGCACCGGCUAACUCCGUGCCAGCCGCCGCGGUAAUAC